UGCCGAAUUGUGUAAUGGUAGCACAAUUGACUCUGGAUCAGUUUGUGAGGGUUCGAAUCCUUCUUCGGCAGCCA
rnacentral:tRNA from 3 species